rnacentral:rRNA from 1 species
ACACGUAGGGGCCUGACGUUGUUCGGAAUCAUUGGGCGUAAAGGGCGCGCAGGCGGCCGUCCAAGUCCGGUGUUAAAUGGUCGGGCUCAACCCGAUCAUGCGCUGGAAACUGGGCGGCUUGAGUCCCGUAGGGGAUGCCGGAAUUCCAGGUGGAGGGGGGAAAUCUGUAGAUAUCUGGAAGAACACCGAUGGCGAAGGCAGGCAUCUGGCCGGAGACUGACGCUGAGGCGCGAAGGCGCGGGGAGCGAACAGGUUUAGAUACCCUGGUAGUCCGCGCAGUAAACGAUGCGCACCAGGUGUCGGGCGGCAGCGCCCGGUACCGGAGCUAACGCGAUGAGUGCGCCGCCUGGGGAGUAUGCCCGCAAGGGUGAAACUCAAAUGAAUUGACGGGG